CACGUAGGGCGCGAGCGUUGUCCGGAAUUAUUGGGCGUAAAGAGCUCGUAGGCGGCCUGUUGCGUCCGCUGUGAAAGCCCGGGGCUUAACCCCGGGUCGGCAGUGGAUACGGGCAGGCUAGAGGUAGGUAGGGGAGAAUGGAAUUCCCGGUGUAGCGGUGAAAUGCGCAGAUAUCGGGAGGAACACCAAUGGCGAAGGCAAUGUUCUGGCGCGUUUCUGACGCUCAGGUGCGAAAGCCAGGGGAGCGAACGGG
rnacentral:rRNA from 1 species